UUACUACAAUGUACAUGAUAGUUUAUUUCAUGGGUUUCAACAUGGACGGCAAAUCUUUGAAGGCCAUGCAAUUCUUUUAAAGUAUGAAGGAAACAUUGAUGAAAGUGAAUACAUGUCAUGGCAGUGUCUGGUUGCAAAACAGCAAUCAACUUCCUCAUUUUUGACGAGCUUGGCGAGGUAGUAAAAUAUACAUGUUCUGAAAUAUUCUAUAGGCUUAUUAGUCUUUAAUUGUGUGUUUGUUUUUUCUAGUGUGAUUGAGAAGUUUACAUUGA